rnacentral:rRNA from 1 species
GAUGAACGCUGGCGGCGUGCUUAACACAUGCAAGUCGAACGGAAAGGCUCCUGCUUGCAGGGGUACUCGAGUGGCGAACGGGUGAGUAACACGUGGGUGAUCUGCCCUGCACUUCGGGAUAAGCCUGGGAAACUGGGUCUAAUACCGGAUAGGACCACAUUUUGGAUGGUGUGGUGGAAAGUUUUUCGGUUUGGGAUGAGCUCGCGGCCUAUCAGCUUGUUGGUGGGGUAAUGGCCUACCAAGGCGUCGACGGGUAGCCGGCCUGAGAGGGUGUACGGCCACAUUGGGACUGAGAUACGGCCCAGACUCCUACGGGAGGCAGCAGUGGGGAAUAUUGCACAAUGGGCGCAAGCCUGAUGCAGCGACGCCGCGUGGGGGAUGACGGCCUUCGGGUUGUAAACUCCUUUCGCUAGGGACGAAGCGCAAGUGACGGUACCUGGAGAAGAAGCACCGGCUAACUACGUG